rnacentral:rRNA from 1 species
UACGUAGGGUGCGAGCGUUGUCCGGAAUUACUGGGCGUAAAGAGCUCGUAGGUGGUUUGUCGCGUUGUUCGUAAAAACUCACAGCUCAACUGUGGGUGUGCGGUCGAUACGGGCAUCACUGGAGUUCGGCAGGGGAGACUGGAAUUCCUGGUGUAGCGGUGAAAUGCGCAGAUAUCAGGAGGAACACCGGUGGCGAAGGCGGGUCUCUGGGCCGAUACUGACGCUGAGGAGCGAAAGCGUGGGGAGCGAACAGG